rnacentral:rRNA from 1 species
GACGAAGGGGGCUAGCGUUGUUCGGAAUUACUGGGCGUAAAGCGAGUGUAGGCGGUUGCCCAAGUCAGGUGUGAAAGCCUUGAGCUCAACUCAAGAAAUGCACUUGGUACUGGGUGGCUAGAGGACCGGAGAGGAUAGUGGAAUUCCCAGUGUAGUGGUGAAAUACGUAGAGAUUGGAAGAACACCAGUGGCGAAGGCGGCUAUCUGGACGGUUACUGACGCUAAGACUCGAAAGCGUGGGGAGCAAACAGG